rnacentral:rRNA from 1 species
UACGUAGGGGGCGAGCGUUGUCCCGAUUUAUUGGGCGUAAAGGCUUGUAGGUGGCCACGGAAAGUCGGAUGUGAAAUCUCCCGGCUCAACUGGGAGGGGUCAUUCGAUACUGCCGGGCUCGAGGCCGGUAGGGGGAAGCGGAAUUCCCGGUGUAGUGGUGGAAUGCGUAGAUAUCGGGAGGAACACCAGAGGCGAAGGCGGCUUCCUGGACCGGUCCUGACACUGAGGAGCGAAAGCGUGGGGAGCGAUCCGG